rnacentral:ncRNA from 1 species
UAUCUACCGUGGGCGCAGGAAACUUGAGGGGUUCUGUCCUUAGUACGAGAGGACCGGGAUGGACGCACCUCUGGCGUGCCGGUUGUUCCGUCAGGAGCAUGGCCGGGUAACCAAGUGCGGACGAGAUAAAUGCUGAAAGCAUAUAAGCAUGAAACUCACCCCAAGAUAAGGUUUCCCUGAAGGUCACCAGUAGACUACUGGUUUGAUAGGCAGGACGUGGAAACGCAGUAAUGCGCGGAGCGAACCUGUACUAAUUGACCGUUCGGCUUGGCCGU